GCAGUCGAACGGAAACGAUGGGAGCUUGCUCCCAGGCGUCGAGUGGCGGACGGGUGAGUAAUACUUAGGAAUCUACCCAGUAGCGGGGGACAACUCGGGGAAACUCGAGCUAAUACCGCAUACGCUCUACGGAGGAAAGCAGGGGAUCUUCGGACCUUGCACUAUUGGAUGAGCCUAAGUCGGAUUAGCUUGUUGGUGAGGUAAAGGCUCACCAAGGCGACGAUCCGUAGCUGGUCUGAGAGGACGAUCAGCCACACUGGGACUGAGACACGGCCCAGACUCCUACGGGAGGCAGCAGUGGGGAAUAUUGGACAAUGGGGGAAACCCUGAUCCAGCAAUGCCGCGUGUGUGAAGAAGGCCUGCGGGUUGUAAAGCACUUUCAGUAGAGAAGAAAAGCCUAGGGUUAAUACCCCUGAGUCUUGACGUUACCUACAGAAGAAGCUCCGGCUAACUCCGUGCCAGCAGCCGCGGUAAUACGGAGGGAGCGAGCGUUAAUCGGAAUUACUGGGCGUAAAGCGCACGUAGGCGGCUUUGUAAGUCGGAUGUGAAAGCCCUGGGCUUAACCUGGGAAUGGCAUUCGAUACUGCAUAGCUAGAGUAUGGUAGAGGGAAGUGGAAUUUCCGGUGUAGCGGUGAAAUGCGUAGAUAUCGGAAGGAACACCGAUGGCGAAGGCAACUUCCUGGGCCAAUACUGACGCUGAGGUGCGAA
rnacentral:rRNA from 1 species